GAUGAACGCUGGCGGCGUGCCUAAUACAUGCAAGUCGAGCGAAUGGAUUAAGAGCUUGCUCUUAUGAAGUUAGCGGCGGACGGGUGAGUAACACGUGGGUAGCCUGCCCAUAAGACUGGGAUAACUCCGGGAAACCGGGGCUAAUACCGGAUAACAUUUUGAACCGCAUGGUUCGAAAUUGAAAGGCGGCUUCGGCUGUCACUUAUGGAUGGACCCGCGUCGCAUUAGCUAGUUGGUGAGGUAACGGCUCACCAAGGCAACGAUGCGUAGCCGACCUGAGAGGGUGAGCGGCCACACUGGGACUGAGACACGGCCCAGACUCCUACGGGAGGCAGCAGUAGGGAAUCUUCCGCAAUGGACGAAAGUCCGACGGUGCAACGCCGCGUGAGUGAUGAAGGCUUUCGGGUCGUAAAACUCUGUUGUUAGGGAAGAACAAGUGCUAGUUGAAUAAGCUGGCACCUUGACGGUACCUAACCAGAAAGCCACGGCUAACUACGUGCCAGCCGCCGCGGUAA
rnacentral:rRNA from 1 species